UACACUUUUAAAUACAAGCAAUUUUUUUCAAAAUAUUUUACAAAAAUUCAAAUUUUCAGUACCAGGAAUCCAUUGCUGUUCAUUACGACAAAACCAAGCUUACCCGAGUUUUGAAUUUCAGCUUUGUAAAUCCUUACGACAAAGUUGAAGACCAUUCUUGUGAAAAGCACCCUUUACAAGUAUAUAGGACAAAACUUCCUCCUAGAAUGUCAACAUACACAUGAGUAAA